UACAGAGGGUGCGAGCGUUGUUCGGAAUUAUUGGGCGUAAAGGGCGCGUAGGCGGUGCGGUAAGUCACCUGUGAAAACUCUGGGCUCAACUCAGAGCCUGCAGGCGAAACUCCCGUGCUGGAGUGUGGGAGAGGUGCGUGGAAUUCCCGGUGUAGCGGUGAAAUGCGUAGAUAUCAGGAGGAACACCUGUGGCGAAAGCGGCGCACUGGACCACAACUGACGCUGAGGCGCGAAAGCUAGGGGAGCAAACAGG
rnacentral:rRNA from 1 species